rnacentral:rRNA from 1 species
AGUGAACGCUGGCGGUAGGCCUAACACAUGCAAGUCGAACGGCAGCACAGUAAGAGCUUGCCCUUACGGGUGGCGAGUCGCGGACGGGUGCGGUAUACAUCGGAAUCUACACUUUCGAGGGGGGUAACGAAGCGAAACUUACGCUAAUACCGCAUACGACCUACGGGUGGAAGCAGGGGAUCUUCGGACCUUGCGCGAUUGAAUGAGCCGGUGUCGGAUUAGUUAGUUGGCGGGGUAAAGGCCCACCAAGGCGACGCUCCGUAGCUGGUCUGAGAGGAUGAUCGGCGACACUCGGACUGAGUGACGGUCCAGACUCCUACGGGGAGACGCAGUGGGGAAUAUUGGGCGAUAGGCGCAAGGCUGAUCCAGCAAUGCGGGAUAGGUUAAGAAGGCCUUGGGGUGGUAAAGCAGUUGUGUUGGGAGUCGAAAGCUGCUGGUUAAUGCGAAGCUGUACUGACGGUACCUGAAGAAUAAGCACCGGCUAACUCCGUG